rnacentral:rRNA from 1 species
CCUACGGGUGGCAGCAGUGGGGAAUAUUGGGCAAUGGGCGCAAGCCUGACCCAGCAACGCCGCGUGAAGGAAGAAGGCUUUCGGAUUGUAAACUCCUUUUGUUAGAGAAGAUAAUGACGGUAUCUAACGAAUAAGCACCGGCUAACUCCGUGCCAGCAGCCGCGGUAAUACGGAGGGUGCAAGCGUUACUCGGAAUCACUGGGCGUAAAGAGCGCGUAGGCGGGAUAGCAAGUCAGAUGUGAAAUCCUAUGGCUUAACCAUAGAACUGCAUUUGAAACUGUUAUUCUAGAGUAUGGGAGAGGUAGGUGGAAUUCUUGGUGUAGGGGUAAAAUCCGUAGAGAUCAAGAGGAAUACUCAUUGCGAAGGCGACCUGCUAGAACAUAACUGACGCUGAUGCGCGAAAGCGUGGGGAGCAAACAGGAUUAGAUACCCGGGUAGUC